ACUCAAAGGAAUAGACGGGGGCCCGCACAAGCGGUGGAGCAUGUGCUUUAAUUCGAUGCAACGCGAAGAACCUUACCUAGGCUUGACAUGGGAGUGAAAUCUUGUAGAAAUAUGAGACCUUCCGCAAGGAACACUCUACACAGGUGCUGCAUGGUUGUCGUCAGCUCGUGUCGUGAGAUGUUGGGUUAAGUCCCGCAACGAGCGCAACCCUCGCCCUUAGUUGCUAACAGGUUAUGCUGAGAACUCUAAGGGGACUGCCUAGUUUAACUAGGAGGAAGGUGGGGAUGACGUCAAAUCCUCAUGGCCCUUACGCCUAGGGCUAGACACGUGCUACAAUGGUCGGUACAACGGGAUGCGAAAUGGUGACAUCGAGCAAAUCCCAAAAAACCGAUCUCAGUUCGGAUUGAAGUCUGCAAUUCGACUUCAUGAAGCUGGAAUCGCUAGUAAUCGCGGAUCAGCAUGCCGCGGUGAAUACGUUCCCGGGCCUUGUACACACCGCCCGU
rnacentral:rRNA from 1 species